rnacentral:rRNA from 1 species
GACGUAGGUGGCGAACGUUAUCCGGAAUUAUUGGGCGUAAAGGGUGCGUAGGUGGCCUGACAAGUUAUCAGUGGCAAAUCGAGGCUCAACCUCGUGGAAACUGGUAAUACUGUUCGGCUUGAGUACAGGAGAGGUUAACGGAACUCUAUGUGGAGCGGUAAAAUGCACAGAUAUAUAGAAGAACAUCAAUAAAGGCGAAGGCAGUUAACUAUGCUGUUACUGACGCUGAGGCACGAAAGCGUGGGGAGCAAAACGG